AGUGAGAGAGGGAGAGUAAGAGAGUGAGAGUAAGAGAGGGAGAGGGAGAGUGAGAGAGGGAGAGUAAGAGAGGGAAGGCUUUGAAACCAUUUUUAUCCUUUUUUCAGUUUCUUUGUUUUUCUUUUGUUGAAGGAAAGAAACGGGGCUCAGUAGUUGGAAUGGAAAGUUUCAGAUAAGUUUGUUUUUGUUAUUAAUAUUAUUAUUAUAUUAUUUGAUUUUAUGUGAUUUAAGGACAGGUUUGCAGCGAGAUUUUUGUUGUUUGGGUUGUUUUUUGGAAUGAAGACCGCAAAAGUAAAUGAAUGGUUUGAAAAGUGGUAAUUGUUGGUUAAGAAGAGGGAGGCACGAGAGAGUACCCGUAUGCUAUUUUUUUCAAUCUUUUUUAUUUUCUUUGUUUUUGUUUAGUUUUUCUGAAGUCUAGGUUUAAUUGUACAUGUUUUAUUUAUUAAACAUCACUACAUGAGGAGGAGGGUAAGCGGGGAGAUCGGAAGAGCGCUAAAUUGAGAGGUGGUUUAUUUAUUCAUUUUAAUUUAUACAGUUUUUUUCCCGCUGAUGGACAGUAAACACUUGUGCAUACACAGAAACAAACAAACUAGGGUCUUUUUAGUUUGUUUUUCAGUUCAGUAUAUCUCACCCCCGAAACACACACACACUCUUUUGUUACAUUUUUUUUAUGUUUCCAAUCUUCUCUCGCUUGACACUGGCUUAUAUAUCUGAAACUACGAAACAGAUCAUAGAAAUGAAAUGAAGCAAAUGACAAAAACCGUAGACACCACACAGUGAGAAACUAUACGAUGAGGAGGCUGAAACAUUUGACGAAGUGAGACGCUUUCAAGAGGAGAGGGGGAACAGAACUUCUACACAAAAGGAGGAAGUGAUUCAAGAAUGAAAAACAACAAAACAUUUUGCCACAAGGAAAACCAAAAUGCUUCCCUGUUGUUUAAAAAAAAAUAAUUGUCUGCCUUCUACUUCAACAUCUAACCAGACUCUUUCACCCUCUUUCUCUGUCUUUCUCUCUGUCUUUUCUUACUCAAUUUUGUUUUGGACCAUAAACUACAGAAAUGUAACACAUUUUGGGUUGGAGUAACUGGAUAUGCUAAGCCAAAUCUUGCUCGCUCUCUCUGUCUCGCUCUCUUCUCCUCUGCCCCAUUUUUCUGUUGGAAGGGAGGGGGAGGGGGCAAUAUAUAGCAGGAGGUAGGAGUACAUACAUAUGAGGGGACACUUUCAUGCCCUCCUUACCCCUACAGCCCCCGUGACUCUGACUUCUCUGGCCUCUUUUCUUACUCCUGUCUUUUGUUCUCCCCUUCCCUCCCUCCUUCACGACACUCUGUGAGUGCUGUUUGCCAUCAAGUCAAAAAAGUGAACUACUUCUCUCUCGGCUGCUAUCUCCACUUUCAACCAUGUUCGGAUUGCUGCUAAAGAAAACAAACAGACAGACAGAUAAAUAAAUAAAAAUGAAACUUUUUAACCCUCCUGCUUCAGAAAAAAUGGAAAAAAUAAACCACUGCAUCUCAUGUAUUUAUUACUAUUUAACAAGAAAAAGAAAAGGUAAAAAUUAACCUGUUUUCUGUUUUUUGUUUGGUUGCCUUCUUCCUGCUGGUGAAAGUUGGGCAUUGACUAAAUGUAACAGUUAAAGGUGGUAUUAAAACACUGACUUAGUUUGUCAGCCACUGGGCGGGGCCUGAAUGGGGGAAACUGGGUAAGAAUAAAGUUGGAUAUAUAAGAAUAAAGAGUAUACUUUUGCACACAAAGGUCAAAUGCAAAUCACAGCUUUCUGCUUUUUCAGCUUUCAGUCGACAGACCCUCAUCUGAGCAAUGUGCAUACAGUAGCAGGCCUACCACAAAGACAAACUGUUGAUGUGGCAAGCUAAGUGAUCACUGACAUGGCAUAAUAAAUCUGAGAUUUGCGUUUGACCAAGUUAUUUCAUUCUUUUUUUUUGUACCUGAGUAACUGGUGUUGGUUGGGUGUGGUGGGGAUGAUGUCCAUGAAGAACCACAAAGUUGGUGUUGCUACUAAUUAACUUAUUAGGAAUCAGUCUCGUCAAUUGGAUAGUCUUGCACUCUUGUGACAAUAUUUUAUUGUUGCCAAUAUACAGUAGCAGGCAGCUCUGAGUAAAGUGUAAACAUAGCAUUAUAGCUAGAUACAUUGAUUGGUGGUUUACAAUCAAAUGGGUACACUGAGAACACAGUGUCUCCACUGUAUUUGAACCAGUGUCUUCCUAGAGGUGACGAUUGAUGAACACGUGCUACUGGAAGUGUUAAAGACAGGUUAUUGUUACCCUGAAGGCCUACUCUAUGCCCCUAGCUGUAUCUUUGGUCGCAGCUUACAUUAGCACAAUCCUCCGUUUAUCUAUUCCAUUGUCAAUAGUAAAUGCUGUUUAGAUCAAAAGGUUGUCUGUGGGGUCACCUAUACCAUAAAACGACAUGCAAUUAGAACCAAUUUAGGACCGUUUGACUCAUGUUCAUCAACACAUUUGUGCUCUUCCUAGUUGAGAGUUAUUGAAUAUGAAUAUAACAGGUGAAGGCCGAGUGUUGUAUUCACACAAGUCACUGAGUCAAAUUGAGAGCACAGUUUAUACUGGCAUCUGGUGGAAAGAUAAGUGAAUUACAUACUCAAAGUUUACAUUGUAACAACAUUGUAGGCUAUGCAUACUACGUUUUCAUAUAUCAUUGCAAAUAUGAAGUGAAUCAUUAAUUGAUCACCUACGCCCAGUAGCGUACAUGCAACGAACGUCGCCGUGUGUGCCAAGUGCGUAAUUGUUGCGCCAAAACCAGGUGAGCGCAAUUAUCAAGCGCCUACAACAUUAAUCUUUGAAUGGUCACUAGUUUGCUAACAAUAGUGUGUCCACGUGGCGCUCUGGACAACGGAUUUUUUUCCCCUGCGGCUUUGGUCACGUUGAACAUGGCACAAGUUGCGUGGAUGUUUUGUCUAUUUGUAUGGAUUUUUUUCUGCCUUUCCAUUCACACAAGUAUCAGCGGAAGCUGAUUUUAACGUUGACAGAUGGGGUGGUCAAGAGCAUCAAGUCUACCAAUUUGCGGAGCGGCACCUCCCGGGCAAUAUACCAGUGCGUGAGGUGAUCAGGCCUCGGAUAGGGGAAGACGAUGCCAUCGGUGCCCCUCGGUCAGAACCACCAUACUACUUCCUUCCCUUGUUCCAGCACUCUGCGGUUCCCGUCGUCGAUAGGGACUUGUUCAGACCAGUCACCGAGAAAAUACGUUUCCCCAGUAUCUUGACCAACCUCUUGCUUCCGCCACAAAAUAGUCCAGAGCGCAACCACUUCUCUCCCGUGCGUAAUCCGCGUGGAGUGAGGUGUGGUGCGGGUACAACCAGAUCUCCGUGCGCAUCAACAGAGGUCGGCUCAGGUUUAGGUGUCUGGCCUCCAUGCUAUUCCUGGGCACUUGCCCCGUCACCCCACUUUUCUUUUACUUCCAUUAUGACCUGAAUGACGGUGGCAGUACUCAAACGACCAUGAAUGGCCAGCUGGUGUACUCCAGCUCACUUCACUUUUCUCCAGAACCACAAGGGCCAAUGAUAAGAGCCAUACAUCUCAACCUCCCCAUUCAGUGCAUAUAUAACCGAUUCCACUACUCCUACAAAGUUGGCUAUGUACCUGAGGUGCAUGACCGCACUCUCUUGAAGAGUAUGAAUGGCAAACGCAUCUUUAGGCUCACUGCAUGCAAUGAGAGAUGGGAACAAUUGUCGUCAGAAGAGAGCUACAUGCUUGGGGAGCCAAAGUACUUCAAAGCCUACACAGCUUUUGUCCCCAGAGAUGGGUGUGUUUGAUGAUUCCUGCUUUGUUACGACAUCCAAGGACCCACAUAACAAACCCCGCCAUGAAGUAAUUCACAACUUUGGGUGGGAGGAGCUGUAUGGCCCUCCCUCUGUGUGCUCCUGCUGUGAUUCUGUCUGUGACUUGCCAGAGUUUUUGCCAGCCUUGAAGUAUCCUUCAGUGAAAAGCCUGAUCACCAGUGAACCCUGGAGAGUUGGAGGAAAGGGAGAAGAGUUUACCCAUUCAGGCUGAGGAGAGACAGCGAGGAAAGGGUGGAGGAGACCUUGGUAGUCACUUAUAAAGAGGAGGAGAAGGUGAAGUUUAAAAGUUUGGCAGUCACUCCUUGGGAGGAGGAGAAAAACAUGUCAGUUGCUGUUAUGAAUAAGGUAGAGGGUGUGCAGUAAGGGAUAGAAGUGAGAGAGGGGGUGGUAGCCAGAAAAGAAGGGGGUGUGGAAGAGCCGAUUGGGGACAAACUGGGCUGAGAAGGAGGUGGUGGAGGCUGAAGAGAACGGCACAGGCCAAGUGACAGCAAGUGUAACUUUGGAACAUGUACCUGAGGGUACAGAGGUGGAGGUAAAGAUUGGCAAUAUAUUGAGGACAAUACUGUGGUUAAGGAGGUAGCUCAGUGGAACAUGUUGAGUGUUGUCACCACAAAUGCUAAGGUGUCAAAGAAAGUUAAGGAGCAGGUUGCUGGGAUAGAAGGAUCAAAGGUUGAGAGGGUGGCGGUUGGACAGAUGCCUUUGGUGGACGACGCAGCAGCGUUUCUGCAGGGGUUAAUGGAGCCUGCCGAGUGGAGAGAAGAUUACCGAGGAGCUGGGGAGGUUUUGGAAACCAUCCACAAAGGACAAGCUUGCUGUGCUGGAAACUUCUGUCCCUAUUGGAACAUUGACAUAAAUUAACUUAAAUAUUUGAUAAGAAUUACACUUAAGUGUCCUUGUAGGAUUGAAUAUUAAAUUACUCUUGUCAUAAGCUCUGAACGUUUUUAUGGUAGCUGGACAUUUGAGGGAUUUAUUUUUGUGUGGGUGUACAGUGGCUUGCGAAAGUAUUCACCCCCCUUGCCAUUUUUUCUAUUUUGUUGCCUUACAACCUGGAAUUAAAAUUGAUUUUCUUUUGGGGGGGGGGUUGUUUGUAUCAUUUGAUUUACACAACAUGCCUACCACUUUGAAGAUGCAAAAUAUUUGUGAAACAAACAAGAAAUAAGACAAAACAGGAAAACUUGAGGUUACAUAACUAUUCCCCCCCUAUAAGCGUGGCACACCUAGCCACUGGUCUUUUUGCCUAUUCUUCAUGGCAAAACUGCUCCAGCUCCUUCAAGUUGGAUGGGGUUCUGCUGGAGUACAGCCAUUUAAGUCAUACCACAGAUUCUCAAUUGGAUUGAGGUCUGGUCUGGGCUGUGACUAGGCCAUUCCGAGGCAUUUAAAUGUUUCCCCUUAAACCACUCAAGUGUUGCUUUAGCAGUAUGCUUAAGGUCCUUGUCCUGCUGGAAG